UGGUGGAGCAUGUGGUUUAAUUNGAUGCAACGCGAAGANCCUUACCUACUCUUGACAUCCAGAGAAUUCGCUAGAGAUAGCUUAGUGCCUUCGGGAACUCUGAGACAGGUGCUGCAUGGCUGUCGUCAGCUCGUGUUGUGAAAUGUUGGGUUAAGUCCCGCAACGAGCGCAACCCUUAUCCUUGUUUGCCAGCACAUAAUGGUGGGAACUCCAGGGAGACUGCCGGUGAUAAACCGGAGGAAGGUGGGGACGACGUCAAGUCAUCAUGGCCCUUACGAGUAGGGCUACACACGUGCUACAAUGGCGUAUACAGAGGGCUGCAAACUAGCGAUAGUAAGCGAAUCCCACAAAGUACGUCGUAGUCCGGAUNGGAGUNUGCAACUCGACUCCANGAAGUNGGAANC
rnacentral:rRNA from 1 species